rnacentral:pre_miRNA from 1 species
UAUUAAAAUUUCAUCUAUCUGUGUUGUUCAAAACUAAUAUAGUUGACGGAAUACAUGGUAUACCAUGUGUACCUAAUUCUGAUGUACAUGAACUAUUUUUUAAUAGUACAAAUGGAUAAAAUUUGUAACA